rfam:Caenorhabditis elegans chromosome II
CCAACGGCCCUCUUUAGGGCCACAAAUGUAAUAUAAUCCGGCUUG